rnacentral:lncRNA from 1 species
UAAGCCGAACAUGAGGUAGAAUCAUAUUUGGGAAGUAAUAUGGCAUGAGGGAUCUAUGGUAAGCCAAAACUGCCACCACUUCCUCAACCUCUAAACAUGAUAUCCUCCAAAUGCAACAAUCAAUGUCAUUUCGAUUUGGAUCCUUAUGGAAUGAAUUAUUAGAGAGAAAUGUAAGCAUGUUAUCAAUCUUAAGUCCGAAAAUAGAUUUUCAAAUGAGAUUACUGUACAAAUGAAGUGAAUCAUAAUGAUCACUAAUUAUGCAACCCAUAUAUGGACAUCUAUUUGAGGGGUAACUGAUAACAAAAAGCAUAUCUUUGUCCAAUUGAAACUUCACAAUUACAUUUUAGCCAUACACAAGCACAAGCCAUGUUUGUUAGUUUAGAAGAUAGUUGCAAUCCUUUGAAGGUUUCAAUAAUGAUUGAACGUAUUAUGUCGUCAGCAUAAUAACAUAAAUUGGAAAGGUUAUGGCAAUGGUUAGAAAUAUAAUAAUUAAAACGAAACAUAGAUAUAGAAAGAUAUAUGAAAUUGAUGUUUUUGAAAAUGUUUGCAGUUAAUUUAUGCUGUUGUUGGGUGGAAGAAAGGGAUUACGAAGAUGAAGAGCAAGGAGCAACUGAAGUUGGAGAAGAUAAAGUGGAUGAAGUUUUAUUUGGUGGCUUAUAUGUAUGUUGAAACUGAUGAAAGUUUUAGAAUGAGUUGUUAGGAAGAUAUAUUUCUAUUUUGAAUACAGCUUGGAAAAUUUUUAGUGGCAGGCAAGAACUUUGGUUACGGUCAUAAGCAAAGGUUUUCAGGGAAAGUUUGUGGAAAGUGGGUUGCCAGUGAUUUUUUGCAGGGGCCAGGUUUGUCUUACUGAAAUUAGUGGUUUAGUGAAGCUAAUAUAUAUAUAUUAAAAAAGACCUUUUUGUGAAACAUGUAUGUAAAAACACAAUAAAUAAGUGUUUUAUGCAUUGAUAAGAUGAGCAGCAUAUAAUGAUAUUAGAAAUCUAAAAACACAAUAAAUAAGUGUUUUAUGCAUUGAUAAGAUGAGCAGCAUAUAAUGAUAUUAGAAAUCUAGCGCAAAAAAUCCCGCCAAAAGACAGAAUUAAUUAAUGGAAUAGAGGAAGCAAUAUGAAAAUGUUAGGUAGUGAUAUAAAUGAAAAGUGACACAAGGAAAAGGGAAAAAAAAAAACCUUUUGCACCUCUUGAACAUGUGCCUUUGCUCUUUUUUGAGGUCUUCUAAACUUGGUAUGAAGCUCAAAACACUUCUUAUCACGAUCUUUUCUUUCGUGGUCCAUCUUCUGUUGAGCUACCCAAAGAAACCAUUAAACCAGUUUAUUACGAUAGUGGUAGAAUAACAAAGUAGAGUUAACAAAUCUCUUAUCCCCAAGAACUCUAUCCUAAGGCCACAUUUAAUUAAUACAUCAAUUACCAUCACCAAGAAUCAUAAAUGGAUCUAAUUUGAAAAUAUGUUACCAAAUCCUAUCAAUAGACAUGGAAAUCAACAAAAAAUAAUACAACCUUCAGCAACUUAGGUAGAAAGCUCUUGAACAUUUGUAUAUGCCUCUGAGUGUGCUGCUCCAAGAUGUUUUAGAGGUUUCUCUACAACACCCUGAGUUUAUCUUUCCUCUAGAAGUUCUCUUUUCGAAGAUUCUAAUUUUUCAUGAAGCUCUCUGACAUCAUUAUUGGACGCCAAAUGGUCUAGCUCCACAGCUUUAUUUCGUUUUCCAGGCUCGCCAGAAUCAAGUAUCUUUCUUUAUAUCCACAAACUGAUACUUUAAAUAUUCAUUGUGAAACUAAGUUCUACACAGUCUCUUCAAGUUGAUCAUGGCCACAAUUAGUAUCUUUACUUCCAUCAUGUAAUCCAGUCUCCUUGAUAGGAUAUCUACCACUCUCGUCUUCUAUAUUAUGUAGCUCAUUAUCCUCAUCCACACGAUUAGCCAGUGCUGAACACUAUAAACCCCUUCUUGAGACAUUGUGGCGAAGCUUUACCGAAAA